UUCUAGCGAUGCAUAACUUCAAUGAGAAACCAUACAACAGUACAGAGGGAAUGAGAAAGCUCUCCAAGCGAGUAAGCACCACUGGCUGAAAAUCCCACCAAGAAAUGGCGCCUCCAGCUUUUUUGCUAUUUUUAGAAUGCAUGAGUCGUUUGCCAUCUGCUAUUUGAAGUCUUUCUAUAUUCCGUUUAAGUUGAUUUUUUUGUUAUUUAUUUAUUAUUUUUUUAUAGGUGAUGAUAAUGAAUUUUGUAAGUGAUGAUUAGAUGAAGCUUGUCGAAACACAUUGCAAGAAAAGAACAUCAUUAUAAUGAUGAGUUGUAUUACACCAUCCAUUGAACAAACCAAUGAAGCUAUGGAGCUUUCGUUUUUUUUUUUUUUUAUUCUAUGGAUAUUCGAUUUUUCAGUCGUUUAAGCGUAAUCUCUAGCGCUUGGGAAAUGACUUGAAAAACCAUGUAUUUUCUUGAUUUCGGACAGUAUACAAUGACAGCUCCGCCCGCUGUGCGACACGUGCAUGCGGCGUUUGGCAAGCACGCGCGGCUGCUGCUGUAAACAACAAAAUCUCGCACUGAAACGCACGCAUUGCCGGGGUCCAGCAUUGAAUAAGUGCUCUAUUUUUUAGGUUUUGUUUUUUGGCACCAUGGAACGAGAAACGUUAGAAAGCACUGUGUACGAGAUAACGAGAGGGGCAAAAACUUGGCACAAAGCAGUCAAACAACGAACCAACAAUGAACGGACGACAUCCUCCCACCGGUGAAAUGUAUAAAGGAACAAAGUAACAGCAACAGUCGCAGACCAACGAACGGCUACUACGGGUGCCGGGUGCGAGCAAAUAAUAAUCUGGUCUACCGGGAGAGCAGAAGCAAACGACUGGCACCGGGACCCGACUACUUUGCCUUGCCAACCUUGAGUGCGCGCAUUACCUGCUCCUCCCGGAUCAGAGCCUGAAUUUUCUGCAGCGCCAGUAUCAGGCUGACCAGAUUGACCGCGUACGUGGUGACGCACACGACGCACAUGUCCUGCAGCACGAAGUAGAGCAGGUAGGCGAGGUAGAGCGACAGCCCGUUGGACAGCAGUAUGAGGUAGCUGGUCAGCCGCGAGACGGCCAGAUUGUUGCUGAAGCUGAGGCCGGCCACUAGGAAGUAGUAGAAGAUGCCGUAGAACCCGUUCGGCACGUUCAGCAGCGAGUCGUCGCCGAGCAACGGCCCGACAAUGCCAAAGCCACGCCCGUACCUGGAAAUGGAGAAAUGGCAAAGAGAGCAAUUGGAGAUGGGGAAGGAGAAAAACUUUCUUUUUAUAGGAAACAGGAGGAUCAUUUUCUCUGCAAUUGCGGAAGAUACUUCGAGGAUCGGAAAACUAUAGCUCUUGGUCUUUCGUCACCAAGAUGGUCCUAAUUAAUGAGAGGACCUGGUGCGCAGUGAAGGAGCUAGCUGAAGGUGAAUCGGCAGUGAGCGAAGAAAUAUCCCAGCAAGCAUUGACUGCAAUAUGUCUCAGUAUUGAUUCAAGAACAUAAGGACUGUUGCGAGAUGCUAAAAAUACGAAAGAGGUGUGGGGUAAUCUUCGAAACACUUCGUUAUUUGAAACGGACGAAAACCAUGAAGCUUAUAUACAACAGUACAAGCGAUGGAAGCUUCGAAGGUUUUUGUGAUGCUGAGUGGAUCAAUGACACUGAUAACCGUCAUUCUAUUACUGGUUAUGUGAAGAAGCAGUCUGAAGGUCCAGUUGCCUGGAAUUGCCGUAAACCAUCAACUGUAGCACUUUCGGCGACAUUGCAGUUUCAGCAGUCACUCAGGAAGCUGUUUGAUGGAAAGGUUUUCGAAAAGAACUGUUGGGAUGUGCAGAGCCAUUGACGAUUUAUUGUGAUGAUCGGAGUGCUAUCCAUCUGGCAGAGAGGCAAAUUGGCUACUCAUGCAGAAGUAAACAUAUCGAUAUACGACACCAUUUCGUCAGACAUAGCGUUGCAAGAAAAAUAAUACAGCUGAAACAUGUUUGCUCUGGAAAUCAAGAAGCAGAAUUGCUUACUAAGAUACUUCCUAUCAGCAAAGCAGUAAAGAUGGACGAGAGACCCUUGGAAUUAAGUCAAUUCUGGAUUAAGGAGGGAUGUUAGAGUAGUAACAAUUGAAUUGAAGUAACCUUUGGUAAUGUGUUAAUACAUUUUUACUCUGUGUUACACCUCCAAACCUUACAGACGUAAUAUUCAAUAGAAACCCAUGAAGGUCCCACCCUAGGAUUGCUGUUCCCAUGUUGAAGGAACAAAAAGAGAGGAGCAUGAUGGCGACGUCGCAAAAAAAAAAUAAAAACAAAUGAACUCCCGCGCGGUGCCAUA